rnacentral:rRNA from 1 species
ACGGAGGGUGCAAGCGUUAAUCGGAAUUACUGGGCGUAAAGCGCCCGCAGGCGGUUUGUUAAGUUAGAUGUGAAAUCCCCGGGCUCAACCUGGGAACUGCAUCUGAUACUGGCAAGCUUGAGUCUCGCAGAGGGGGGUAGAAUUCCAGGUGUAGCGGUGAAAUGCGCAGAGAUCAGGAGGAAUACCGGUGGCGAAGGCGGCCCCCUGGGCCAAGACUGACGCUGAGAGGCGAAAGCGAGGGUAGCAAACAG